rnacentral:lncRNA from 1 species
AGUUUUUUGUUAUUGUUGUUCUUGUUUUUACCACAGGGAUUUUUUCUGCUCCAUGUUUCCUCCAUUAACAGCAAUGGGAUAUACUUUGGGAGAAUACAGGCCAAUUGAAUGAUGUUUCUGCCAUAUGAAUUGUCCCAAAUGAGGGACUGGUUUUGGAAAGCAUGGGUGACCUCAUUCCCGCCCGGGACACACGGGGAGACACUUUCCCAGGUGCUUCCUCAGAAGUUGUCCUUGCUCUUGAAAGAACGAACAACUAUCUGGAAUGGAAGUUGUUUUUUCUGCUAUCCUGAGGAUGAUGUCAACACCACGGAUGGCAGAAAAGAGCUGUAAAGAAGAUAGGGCUUCGGAUGUUCUGCGAGAAAUGAUCAUUGUUGCACUGUAGGCUAACUUGGAUGUAAAUUUAAAAUAAAUAAAUAAAUAAAUAAAACAAAACACAAAACAAACCAAAAAAUUACAAACAAAAAAGGAACUCUCCCUAACUGACGUACCAAGAACCGGCUGUAGGUUUUCUGAGCUGCGCCGCGGUUGUGAGUAGGUAGAAAAGCUGAAGCCUGCUUUCUCUCCGCUCCACGUAACAAGCAAUCCCCGUGGGCAGGCUUG